rnacentral:rRNA from 1 species
UACGGGGGGGGGCAAGCGUUUGUUCGGAAUUACUGGGCGUAAAGGGCUCGUAGGCGGCCAACUAAGUCGGACGUGAAAUCCCCAGGCUCAACCUGGGAACUGCGUCCGAUACUGGAUGGCUUGAAUCCGGGAGAGGGAUGCAGAAUUCCAGGUGUAGCGGUGAAAUGCGUAGAUAUCUGGAGGAAUACCGGUGGCGAAGGUGGCAUCCUGGACCGGCAUUGACGCUGAGGAGCGAAAGCCAGGGGAGCAAACGGG